rnacentral:tRNA from 1 species
GGGGGUAUAGCUCAGCUGGGAGAGCGCUUCAAUGGCAUUGAAGAGGCCGUCGGUUCGAAUCCGUCUACCUCCACCA